CUGCGCCUUUAAGGGGCGGAGUUACGCCCGCUGUAGAGGAAGCGGAUUGGCUGAGAAGAGUCCCCGGAAGUGAUGCCCGGGGAAGCCCACGUGUGCGACUCCACUCCCUAUGGCGGUGCUCCUGAAGAGGCUGCUGCAGCCGGGGAGGCCCCCGGCGGCCUUAGGCCGCCCCCUAGGACGGCGCGAGGCCAGCCUGGGCACUGAUUCCGGGGCUGCGGUGCGAGUGCGCUUCGCCCCUAGCCCCACAGGCUUCUUGCACCUGGGCGGCCUCCGCACUGCCUUGUACAACUACAUCUUUGCCAAGAAGCACCAGGGAAGCUUCAUCCUGAGGCUGGAGGACACGGAUCAGACCCGCCUUGUGCCUGGGGCAGCGGAGAAUAUUGAGGACAUGCUGGAGUGGGCAGGCAUUCCCCCUGAUGAGAGCCCCCGCCGGGGCGGUCCUGCCGGGCCCUACCUGCAAUCUCAGCGACUUGAGCUGUACGCCCAGGCUGCAGAAGCUCUGCUGAAGACCGGCGCUGCUUACCCCUGUUUCUGCUCACCACAGCGGCUGGAACUGCUGAAGAGAGAGGCCCUGAGGAACCACCAGACGCCCCGAUAUGACAAUCGGUGCCGGAACCUGAGCCCAGGGCAGGUGGCCCAGAAGCUGGCCAAGGACCCCAAGCCUGCUAUCCGCUUCCGUCUGGAGGAGGAGGCCCCAGCCUUUCAGGACCUGGUAUAUGGCUGGAAUCGGCAUGAUGUGGCCACUGUGGAGGGGGACCCAGUCAUCCUGAAGAGUGAUGGCUUCCCUACGUACCACCUGGCCUGCGUGGUGGACGACCACCACAUGGGUGUCAGCCACGUGCUGCGGGGCUCGGAGUGGCUGGUCUCCACCUCCAAGCACCUGCUCCUCUACCGAGCCCUGGGCUGGUCACCCCCUCACUUCGCCCACCUGCCCCUGCUCCUCAACAAGGAUGGCAGCAAGCUCUCCAAGAGGCAAGGGGACAUUUUCUUGGAGCAUUUUGCUGCUGCUGGCUUCCUGCCGGAUGCAUUGCUCGACAUCAUCACCAACUGUGGCUCCGGGUUUGCAGAGAACCAGAUGGGCAGGACCUUGUCAGAGCUGAUAACACAGUUUGACCUGACCCGGAUCACCUGCCACUCAGCCUUGCUAGACCUGGAGAAGCUCCCAGAAUUCAACAGGCUGCAUCUCCGUCGGCUGGUGAGCAGUGAGACCCAGCGGCGCCAGCUGGUGGGGAAGCUACAGACUCUCGUGCAGGAGGCGUUUGGGAACCAGCUGCAAGACAGGGACGUGCUGGACCAAGCCUAUGUAGAGAGAAUCAUCCUGCUGAGACAGGGUCACAUUUGCCGCCUGCAGGAUUUGGUCUCCCCAGCACACUCCUACCUGUGGACUCGCCCAGCUGUGGAUCGAGCACAGCUGGGCGCCAUCUCGGAGCAGGUGGAUGUGAUUGCCAAGCGCGUGCUGGGACUUUUAGAAGGACCUGGUACGAGCUUAACUCAGGACGUGCUGAAUGGAGAACUGAAGAAGCUGUCAGAAGGUCUGGAAGGUACCAAACACAGUAACGUGAUGAAGCUCCUCCGAGUGGCUCUCAGUGGACAGCUGCAAGGACCCCCUGUAGCUGAAAUGAUGGUGUCCUUGGGACCAAAGGAAGUGCGGGAACGAAUACAGAAGAUGCUUUCCAGCUAGAGAGAAUAUGUGCAGGACAGUGGAGGUGGCCCUUGGAACCUGUAACUCGGAAACUGCCUUCAGAGGGGAGGAGAAGGAGGCCUGGGACCAUCAGGAAGCUUGUGGAAGGAUCCCAGAGUGGAGCCAGAGUCUCUGGGUGUACAAGUGCAUUUAUGGCUCCACAACAGGCCCGUCCUCGUCAGUUGGCCAGGGAAGCCCAGCUCCGUCUCACCUCCUUGACUCUGGAAGGGAAGGCCGCAUGUCUGGUUCUGACACCACAUGACACAGCAGAGGUUGGGAGCUGGGUCACAGAAUAGUCCAGAGGCCUUGUGUUUUAGUCAGCUUGUGCUGCCAUAACAAGAGACCACAGACUGGUGGCUUCAACAACAGAAAAUUGUUCUCUUAACAGUCCUGGAAGCUGGAAGUUCAAGAUGAGGUGUUGGCAGUUUUCAUUUCUCCUGAGGUCUCUCUCCUUGGCUUACAGAUGGUGGCCCUCUUGCUGUGUCCUCACAUGGUCUUUCCUCUAUGCGUGCCCUUGGUAUCUCUAGGUGUCCAAAUGUCCUCUUCUUAAAAGGACUCCAGUCAGAUUGGAUUAGGGCCCACCAUGACAGCCUCGUUUUAACUCGACCACCUCUUUAAAGGCCCUGUCUACAAAUGCAGUCACAUUCUGAGGUCCAGGGGUUAUGGCUUCAACAUGGGAGUUUUGAGGGGACACAAUUCAGCCUGUAAGAGCUUGGCAGCAACCUGGGCUCAUGGAUGCCAGUUCUCAGGCCCAGGGUGGAUUUGGAGCAAUAAAGGAUGGUUGACACAGGCAAGGCUGAACUGGACGUCAGACUUUCUUUGGGAUUGUGAGGGGAGAAGUUACUCAUCUGCCGCUGCCCAGCCAUAAGAACUCAAGAGUGGUGAAGAGGGGAAUUUCAUCGUCUCCAACAUUAUGCUGAAGAGAGAUUUGAACAGGGCCAGCUCAGAAGCAAGGAGCCCUGGGAAGAGAUGAUUGAAAAAUGAGGCAUGAAGGAGGGCUGUUGUCAUGAUAAGCCUUGUUUCCUCACCAUGGCCUGACUCUAGUCUACCUUUCCAGCUGAGCUUCACCCAUUCCUGCCAUAUACAUGCCUUCUCUGGUCUCCAGCCACAUAAGCCUUCCUUAGGUCUCUGGGCACAUUGGGUUCCUUCCUGCCUUUGCAUUGCUUUCUCUAUCUGGAAUACUCUCGUGCACCCGCUUUUCUCCCCCUUUGCGUAGUCACUUUUUUCUUAGCCUUCAGAUCUCAGCUCCACUCUCAGCUCAGGGGAGUCUGUAGCUUCCUCCCAGAAGAUCUCCUUCCUCUGUGAUUAAUCAUCAGCAUCCUAUUCUUUUCCAUAGCACCCAACUGGAGUUGAUUGUGUAAAUAACGGUGUGGGUAAUUAGUUCUGCAGCUAUUUGUUACUGUCAGAUUGUAAAGUCCAUGAGAACACGGACCUCAUCUGUCUGGUUCACUGCUGUACCACCAGUACUCGGAACGGUGCCUGUUCACAUAGUAGGUGCUCAAUAAAUAUUGUUGCAUGAAAGACCAGACGCACAACUGAUUGAAUUGGAUGGUCAGGGUGAGCAGUCAAGUGCACAGGUGCUGGCUUUGCCAAAGUCCCUGUGUUUAGUUAAGAUACUGCUUUGCAGCGUUCAGGACCUUCACAUCAUUUGUUGUUACUAUUUUCAUUAGUGGAUCACAGGAUAGGAAUGUUUUUUAAUUUAGAAGGCAGUAUAAAUGUGGCUUGGCACUCAUGCUCAUGAUGCCCCGGGCAUGUCCACCUUAUCCUUCAGAGCUUGGCAAAAUGUUAGGGUCACAGCCUUUCCCUCCAGGCCAGAGUCCCCUCGGCUCUGCUGCCUACCCGGUCACCCCCAUCCUAACUGCAGCAGCACAGCCCAGCUGCUGAAGGAAGGCCUUCUCUAUCUUGAAAACCCAUCUUGCAGGAGUCCAUUCAAUCCUGUCUUCAUUCAUUCAUUUGACAAACACCUACUGUGUGCCAGGCCCUGUUAGGCCUGGGGGUGCAGAGAGGAAUAAGACAAAGCCUCAUUAAGUGUGAGUGCUCAGUCCACAAAUGUUUGUCACCCCUAUUUACUUACUGUAUUUGUUAAGCUUUUAAAAA